UAUCACAGAUUACAAUGAACUUCAUCCAGCUUUUGUUGCUUCUUGUUUUGGUGGUACUGAUCAUAUAUGUGAUGGGAUCAGAUGCUUCUCCCUGGAGAUGGCACAGAAGAUGGUCUGAUUCAAAUAGCGGAGGUUCCUGGAGCUGGAGUCGCUAACAUGAUCACUUGAUAGGAAAAUUACUUCUAAAUGGUGCCGCAGAAUUUCAAUACAUACACUAGUUUUUAUGUAUUAUAUAUUAAAAAAGUUCUUGAACAAAAUGUAAAUCAAUUUUACAUUUGCGUUCUACAUAUUUGAUGUUAAUAAAAUAAAAAUUUAGA